rnacentral:rRNA from 1 species
GACGAACGCUGGCGGCGUGCCUAAUACAUGCAAGUUGAGCGCUGAAGGUUGGUACUUGUACCAACUGGAUGAGCAGCGAACGGGUGAGUAACGCGUGGGGAAUCUGCCUUUGAGCGGGGGACAACAUUUGGAAACGAAUGCUAAUACCGCAUAAAAACUUUAAACACAAGUUUUAAGUUUGAAAGAUGCAAUUGCAUCACUCAAAGAUGAUCCCGCGUUGUAUUAGCUAGUUGGUGAGGUAAAGGCUCACCAAGGCGAUGAUACAUAGCCGACCUGAGAGGGUGAUCGGCCACAUUGGGACUGAGACACGGCCCAAACUCCUACGGGAGGCAGCAGUAGGGAAUCUUCGGCAAUAGACGAAAGUCUGAACGAGCAACGCCGCGUGAGUGAAGAAGGUUUUCGGAUCGUAAAACUCUGUUGGUAGAGAAGAACGUUGGUGAGAGUGGAAAGCUCAUCAAGUGACGGUAACUACCCAGAAAGGGACGGCUAACUACGUG